CCUACGGGAGGCAGCAGUGGGGAAUAUUGGGCAAUGGGCGCAAGCCUGACCCAGCAACGCCGCGUGAAGGAAGAAGGCCCUCGGGUGGUAAACUUCUUUUAUCAAGGACGAAACAAAUGACGGUACUUGAUGAAUAAGCCACCGCUAACUACGUGCCAGCAGCCGCGGUAGUACGUAGGUGGCAAGCGUUAUGCGGUUUUACUGGGUGUAAGGGGUGUGUAGGCGGGACUGAAAGUCAGAUGUGAAAACCAUGGGCUCAAGGCAUGGCCUGCAUUUGAUACUGUAGUUCUUGAGUGUUGGAGAGGCAGGAGGAAUGCCGUGUGUAGCGGUGAAAUGCGUAGAUAUACGGAGGAACACCAGUGGCGAAGGCAGCCUGCUGGACAAUAACUGACGCUGAGGCGCGAAAGCGUGGGGAGCAAACAGGAUUAGAUACCCGAGUAGUC
rnacentral:rRNA from 1 species